CCUGUGCAGGUUUUUGUGUGGACAUCAGUUUUCAACUCUUUCGGUGAAUACGAAGGAGUGGGACUGCUGAAUUGCAUGGGAAGCGUACAUUUCAUUUUGUAAGAAACUCACGAGACUGCAAUGAAAGGAUUCCUUUCACUCUACAUCCGUGUGUUGUCAGCGUUUUGGAUUUGGGCUGCUUUAGAACAUGUGUAAAGUGUGUCGCUGUUGAGAUUUGCAUUUCCCUGAUGACACGUGAGGUUGAACAUCUUUUCAUUUGCUUAUUAGCCAUCUGUAUAUCUCCUCUAGCGAGGUACUUGUUAAGGUCUUUGGCCCAUUUUUUAAUCGAGGUGUUUAUUUUCUUAUUGUUGAGUUUUAAACGUUUUUGUACAUUUUGGAUAACAGUCCUUUAUUAAAUAUGUCUCUGCAAUUAUUAUUUUUUUCAGCCUCUGGCUUACCUUUUCAUUUUCUUCACAGUGUCUUUUGCAGACCAGAAGUUUUUGAAUCACGUCCAGUUUAUCAAUUAUUUCUUUCAUAAAUCAUGGAUUUGAUGUAUCUAAAAGUCAUUGCCAAACCCAAGGUCAUCUAGGUUUUCUUCUAUGUUACCUUCUAGGAGUUGUGUAGUUUUUUGCAUUUUACAGUUAUGUCUAUGAUCCACUUUGAGUUAAUGUUUGUGAAUGGUGUGAGAUCUGUGUUUAGAUUCAUUCGUUGAAGGAUGUUCAGUUGUUCCAGCAUUGUUUACUGAAAAGAUUAGCUUUGCUUCAUUUUAUUGCCUUUGUUCUUUUGUCAAAGACCAGUUGGCUGUAUUUGUGUGGAUAUAUUUUCAGACUCUAUUCUGUCCCAUUGAUCUAUUUGUCUCUCUCAUAUAUAUAUAUAUAUAUAUAUAUAUAUAUAUAUAUAUAUAUAGCCAAUACCAGAGUGUUCUUAGAGUAAGAUGUAGCUUUAGAGUAAGUCUUGAAGUCAGGUAGUGUCUGUCCUCCAAGUUUGUUCUUCUCCUUCAAUAUUGUGUUGGCUAGUCUGGGUCUUUUGCCGCUUUUUAUAACCUUUAGAAUCAGUUCGUCAAUAUCCCCAAAAUAACUUGCUGGGAUUUUGAUUGGGGUUGCAUUAAAUCUACAGAUCAAGUUGGGAAGAAUCUUGAUAGCUUGACCAUAUUGAGUCUUUCUAUCCAGGGACAUGAAAUAUUUUCCUUCUUAUUUAGUUUUUCUUUGAUUCCUUUCAUCAGAGUUUUGCGGUUUUCCUCAUAUAGAUCUUUUGCAUAUUUUGUUAGAUUUAUUCUUAAGGUAUUUCUUUUUUUUCAAGUGCUCUAAUAUCAAUGGCAUUAUGUUUUUAAUUUCAGAUCCCCCUUGUUCAUUGCUGUUAUGUAGGAAAAUGAUUGACUUUUGGAUAUUAUCUUGCAGUCUGCCACUUUGCUAUUAAUGUAAUUGCUUGUUAGUUUCAGGUGUGUUUUCUGUGGUCAUUUCUCUCAGAUUUUCUACAUAGACAAUUACAUCAUCUGUAAACAAAGACAACUUUAUUUCUUUCUUCCCAUCUAUAUACCUUAUAUUUUAUUUAUUUGUUUAUUGCAUUAGCUGGGACUUUUAGUAUGAUGUUGCAAAGGAGUCUGGAGAGGCGACACCGUGCCUCGUUCCUGGUCUUAGUGGGAAAAGUUUUGAGUUUCUCACCAGUAAGUGUGAUGUUAGCUGUAGGGUUUGUGUAGAUAUUCUUUAUCAAGUUGAGGGAAGUUCUCAUCUAUCUCAGUUAUCAUUUUUAAUAGCUGAAUAAAAGGUAUUACAUCGAGUUCAUGUUCAAAGCUGGUUAAGGCACCAUCACCGUGAGGUUUCCAUGCAUUGCGCAGUCCAGAGUCCAUGGUUAUGGCCCUUCAGUUUCAGAUGAAGAACAAAACCAGAGAAAGGCCCCAGAGCCACCCUGGAGUGUGGGGUGGAAAACACCAAGAGGCCUGUUUUUCCAGACCUUCUUUGAAGAGCUUCAUCUUCAGAACUGGCAAGGACCUCCAGGACAGUGUUGAAUAGAAGUGUCAAAAGAGGCAUCUCCCUCACUGCCAGGCUCAGAGGGAAAGUUUUCAGUAUUCCGUAUUAUCUGCGAUAUUGGGUGAAUACUGCUCUUUUCCUUUGUAGAUACCUUUUAUCAGAUUAUGGACAUUCCCUUUUAUUUCUAAUUUGCCAAGAAUUUUUAAAUUAUAAAUGUUUGCUAAAUUUGAUUGCAUUCCUUUUAUUGCACAUUUGAGAUGAUGCUGUGGCUUUUUCCUUUAUUCUACUAAUAGGUUGAAUUAUAUUCAUUGAUUUUCAAAUGUUAAACCAGCCUUGCCUUCCUGGUGUACAUCUAAUUUGGUUGCCAUGUACUUUCUUUUUCUAUGUUGUUACAUUCAGGUUCUUUUUUGGUGUCUAUGUUUUAAAGAGACAUUGACCUGUAAUUUUUCUUUUUGUAAUAUUCUCACCAGAUGUUUAGUGUAAUGGCUGUGCUGGCCUUAUAAGCACACAUUAAGAAGUUUUCUUGGCUGGGCGCAGUGGCUCAUGCCUGUAAUCCCAGCAUUUUGGGAGGUGGGCAGAUCACCUGAGGUCAGGAGUUUGAGACCAGCCUGGCCAACAUGGUGAAACCCCGUCUCUACUAAAAAUACAAAAAAAUUAGGUGGGUAUGGCGGGCGCCUGUAAUUUCAACUACUUGGGAGGCUGAGGCAGGAGAAUGGCUUGAACUUGGGAGGUGGAGGUUUCAGUAAGCCGAGAUCAUGCCAUUGCACUCCAGCCUGGGCAACAACAGCAAAACUUCAUCACAGCAAAACUCCAUCUCAACAACAACAAAACAACAACAACAACAAGAAAAAAGGAGUUUUCUCUCUUCUUCUGUUCCUGGAAGAGUUUUAUUGUAAGUUUAGUGUUGUUUCUUUUUUAAAUGUUUGGUAGAAUUCAUUAAAAAAGCCAUCAAGGCCUGGAGCUUUCUCUGUGCUGAGUUGAAAUUACAAAGUCAGUUUAUUUAACAAUGUACUAUAUAAGCCAGAAAUUAUUGUCGAUAUCUGUCAUAGACAAAAAGAUUGCCCUAUGUGUACUGUGAAUUAUGCAGGGAUAUUAAUUGCUGUGUAUUUUUUUGAACAGUGAAAAAUUGGAAACAACCUAAGUAUUUACGACAAGGAACAACCCCAGCAUAUUUUUUAUUAAAUAAAGUAAUUUUCAGAGCAAUGUGUUUAGUCUGAAUGUAUUGAAAACACGUAGCACCGAGCCCCAGCACGGUGCUGUUUAUUUUCUAAUCCUGUUGGUUUCUGUGUGUGAGUGUGGAG
rnacentral:lncRNA from 1 species